CAAGAGGGAGUCUCAAGGAGGAAGUAUCUCUUUGCUUCAGUUUCACGUUGACUCCUGAGUUGUUUGGUUCACACAAGUGCUUGUUCCAACGGCGGCUGCUUCGCACUGCAGAUCUGGAAGACGGGAUUUUGCUGUGCAACGCUUUUGUGGAAAGGUCACUUACUGGCAACAUUCACUGAGCACUGAGAGAGAUAAAAAGCUGCAAUCCAGUGACCGCCUCGAUGGU